rnacentral:lncRNA from 1 species
CUCCGACUCUGCCCGGCGUGCGCUAGCGGCAGGGAGGAGGAGCCCCGGGCUGGGACUCCCUGGUCUUGGCUCUGCCACUUUAUGCUCUUUGACUUUGGGAAAUUCCUGUGCCUUCCUCUCUCCGGGCACUGGAUUGCCUCUUCUGUCAAACAAGGUGAUCGGGCCCCAAGGUCCUUUCCAGCUCUGACGAGCUGGAGUCCAGGUUCCCGUUCCACGACUGCUUCUUUGGGGAAUGACGAUAAUCAUCUUGCAGGCCUGCCCACAACUGAGAGAGGAAGGAAGGAAGGAAAGAAAAGAAGGGGAAAUGGAAGGGGAGGAAGAAGAGGCAUUUAAGGUAUCCCAAAUAGCUAUCACAAAAUUUAUGCACUUUACCUAUUGAACAGCCCCCUCA